rnacentral:rRNA from 1 species
AUUGAACGCUGGCGGCAGGCCUAACACAUGCAAGUCGGACGGUAGCACAGGGGAGCUUGCUCCUCGGGUGACGAGUGGCGGACGGGUGAGUAAUGUCUGGGGAUCUGCCCGAUAGAGGGGGAUAACCACUGGAAACGGUGGCUAAUACCGCAUAAUGUCGCAAGACCAAAGAGGGGGACCUUCGGGCCUCUCACUAUCGGAUGAACCCAGAUGGGAUUAGCUAGUAGGCGGGGUAACGGCCGACGACGGCGACGAUCCCUAGCUGGUCUGAGAGGAUGACCAGCCACACUGUAACUGAGGAACAGUCCAGACUCCUACGGGAGGCAGCAGUGGAGAAUAUUGCACAAUGGGCGCGAGCCUGAUGCAGCCAUGCCGCGUGUAUGAAGAAGGCCUUCGGGUUGUAAAGUACUUUCAGCGGGGAGGAAGGCGAUGUGGUUAAUAACCGCGUCGAUUGACGUUACCCGCAGAAGAAGCACCGGCUAACUCCGUGCCAGCAGCCGCAGUAA